GGGGAUUUAGCUCAGUGGUAGAGCGCUUGCCUAGCAAGUGUAAGGCCCUGGGUUCGGUCCCCAGCUCCCCCC
rfam:Rattus norvegicus chromosome 12, whole genome shotgun sequence.